rnacentral:rRNA from 1 species
GACGAACGCUGGCGGCGUGCUUAACACAUGCAAGUCGAACGGAAAGGCCCUGCUUUUGUGGGGUGCUCGAGUGGCGAACGGGUGAGUAACACGUGAGUAACCUGCCCUUGACUUUGGGAUAACUUCAGGAAACUGGGGCCAAUACCGGAUAGGAGCUCCUGCUGCUUGGUGGGGGUUGGAAAGUUUCGGCGGUUGGGGAUGGACUCGCGGCUUAUCAGCUUGUUGGUGGGGUAGUGGCUUACCAAGGCUUUGACGGGUAGCCGGCCUGAGAGGGUGACCGGCCACAUUGGGACUGAGAUACGGCCCAGACUCCUACGGGAGGCAGCAGUGGGGAAUAUUGCACAAUGGGCGGAAGCCUGAUGCAGCAACGCCGCGUGCGGGAUGACGGCCUUCGGGUUGUAAACCGCUUUCGCCUGUGACGAAGCGUGAGUGACGGUAAUGGGUAAAGAAGCACCGGCUAACUACGUGCCAGCAGCCGCGGUGAUACGUAGGGUGCGAGCGUUGUCCAGAUUUAUUGGGCGUAAAGGGCUCGUAGGUGGUUGAUCGCGUCGGAAGUGUAAUCUUGGGGCUUAACCCUGAGCGUGCUUUCGAUACGGGUUGACUUGAGGAAGGUAGGGGAGAAUGGAAUUCCUGGUGGAGCGGUGGAAUGCGCAGAUAUCAGGAGGAACACCAGUGGCGAAGGCGGUUCUCUGGGCCUUUCCUGACGCUGAGGAGCGAAAGCGUGGGGAGCGAACAGGCUUAGAUACCCUGGUAGUCCACGCUGUAAACGGUGGGUACUAGGUGUGGGGUCCAUUCCACGGGUUCCGUGCCGUAGCUAACGCUUUAAGUACCCCGCCUGGGGAGUACGGCCGCAAGGCUAAAACUCAAAGGAAUUGACGGGGCCCCGCACAAGCGGCGGAGCAUGCGGAUUAAUUCGAUGCAACGCGUAGAACCUUACCUGGGUUUGACAUGGAUCGGGAGUGCUCAGAGAUGGGUGUGCCUCUUUUGGGGUCGGUUCACAGGUGGUGCAUGCCUGUCGUCAGCUCGUGUCGUGAGAUGUUGGGUUAAGUCCCGCAACGAGCGCAACCCUUGUUCACUGUUGCCAGCACGUUAUGGUGGGGACUCAGUGGAGACCGCCGGGGUCAACUCGGAGGAAGGUGGGGAUGACGUCAAGUCCUCAUGCCCCUUAUGUCCAGGGCUUCACGCAUGCUACAAUGGCUGGUACAGAGAGUGGCGAGCCUGUGAGGGUGAGCGAAUCUCGGAAAGCCGGUCUCAGUUCGGAUUGGGGUCUGCAACUCGACCUCAUGAAGUCGGAGUCGCUAGUAAUCGCAGAUCAGCAACGCUGCGGUGAAUACGUUCCCGGG